GCUCUGGAAGGUCAAAUUAAAAAUAUCGAUAAAGUUAUAGAAAUCGUUGAGUCCGACCGUCAUGUAAAUACUACCUCAAUUGUCCAGGAGCUAAUCCUUAUCCCUGAACUAAACAUUGAACAAAAACUUGUUAAAAACGUAAAAAGACAUUCGAGGUAUGGUUGCCACAUUAGUUAUCGCAAACAAUUCUCAUAGACCGAAUUCCUCUUGCAACAGAAUCGAUCCAUUUCUUAGGAGGAUGAUUAUUGGUAAAGUAAGGUGGAUUACUUGUGACAACUUCGAAUAAAAAUGGUCUAUUGUCGAAUUCUGGUGAACCUGCGCAACGAUGGCUAAGCCAGCAUUGAUGGUCAGUAAGAUUUUGCUACGGUUUUGUUGGAAUUAGUAGGGAAUCAUAUACUAUGAACUACUCCCUUACGGUAUUGUACUGUCACCAAUUUGACCGUCCAAAUGAAGUAAUCGCGUAGAGAUGGCCAGUAUUGGAAAAUAGCGGGAGCUAUGGCCACAUCGAUAAUGACUCGCCAGAAGCAACGAAAGCUUUAUGGGAGGUAUGCAAGUGAUAUGAAACUACCUUCAAAAUGGCAACAAAUACUAAUGAUAAAUAGGCGUUCCAUUAUAAUGACAUACGUGUAAUACGUGCUGUAUGCAUGAAUAUUAUGGAAAGAGAGAACUGUUUUGCCAACAUGGACUUUCAAUUUAAUACAUCUUGUGAUGGAGUCAUACAUAAACUCGUAGACUGUAUAUGGACAAUCUACCUGCGUCAUUGUUUUUUCUACCAACUUUAGUACGGAGUGUAGAAAACGAAUACAGACAUGCGGUUUCCACUUGCGAUUCUAAAAUCUCGCUUGAUUUGUACUGGAGUGCGCACAAUACCGUUUUGAUCCCUCAGGCCUAUGCAAACGUCGCUUGUCUUAGCCAAGUACGCCUGCAGCCACCAGCG